GACGAACGCUGGCGGCGUGGAUUAGGCAUGCAAGUCGAACGGUAUCAUCCUUUCGGGGGUGAGAGAGUGGCGAACUGGUGAGUAACACGUAGGUUAUCUACCCUCAAGACGGGGACAACCCAGGGAAACUUGGGCUAAUACCGGAUGUGAGCAACUUUUAGUUGUUUGAAAGGUGGCGUAAGCUGUCGCUUGGGGAUGAGCCUGCGUCCUAUUAGUUAGUUGGUGAGGUAACGGCUCACCUAGGCAAUGAUAGGUAGGCGGCCUUAACGGGUGGUCGCCCACACUGGGAUUGAGAUGCGGCCCAGACUCCUACGGGAGGCAGCAGUCGAGAAUAGUCUACAAUGGUCGGAAGGCUGAUAGUGCGACGCCGCGUGAACGAUGAAUCCCUUCGGGUGUAAAGUUCUUUUAUAUGUGAGCAGUGCUUCUUAUAUUAACAGUAUGGGGAGAGAGAUAUUAGCAUAUGAAUAAGCAACGGCUAACUCCGUGCCAGCAGCCGGGU
rnacentral:rRNA from 1 species